AUGUUUGUUUUCAUCUUCCUCCUUGCUCUUAUUACAGUGAAUUUUUUUUUUUUAGUUUUGAGACAAUUUAUUUUCAUUUUCAUCACCGUUUACCAUACUUUUCACUGAAAUUGAAUCAAUGGUAAUUUCUUUUAUUGUGAGAAAGACAUGCAUUGUAUCUUUUUAGAAAGGAUGUAAUCAGUUUGAGAAUGUUAUCAUUCAAAAGUACAUUUUCAUUUAAUUGGACAUUUGAUGAGAAUUUUGUUUGAUCAAGUCAAAUUAUUGCAAGAUUGCAAUUUAUUUAGCAGUAUGGUAGUAUAAAAUUAUUUGUAGUAUUUUCAUGGAUUUUCUUCAUUUGAUGAGAACUUCUUUUAUUAAAGGAACUGAUUGCCAAUUUUUGUAACUAAGCACUUGAUUUAUUUAAGACACCGUUUGCCCUUUGUCAUAAAUAUAUCUUUGUAUCAAAGCCUAGAUUAUUAUCUUUCUGUGUUUUGAAGAUAAAAACAAAAGACAGUUGACACCUCUUAGUUUGGUAAUUACAUAUACUUUGUGGUAGAUGAAUUGAAGGUUUGUGGACAAAAUAUUUUCAUUAUAUUGCUUGAAUUUUCUUGAACUGUGGCCAUGAUGCAAUUAUUUGAGAUCCAUGCUUAGAAAAAUUGUUAAUUGCUAAAUUGUCAUUUGCAUAACAGCCAGGUAGUUGCAAAAUGAUGGUACAUGUACCUUGACCUAUCAUAAAUUGAUAUUUGUAAAGGUUUCUAGACCAGAUAUGUAGUGUUCAAAAAAUAUUUGAACUAUUUAAUGCUUAUAAUGCUUAUGAAUGCCAAUUGUUUUUUGAAAAAUAAAAACGAAAUGUUAAAAUC
rnacentral:sRNA from 1 species